rnacentral:rRNA from 1 species
UGGGGAAUCUUGCGCAAUGGGCGAAAGCCUGACGCAGCAACGCCGCGUGCGGGAAGAAGGCUCUCGGGUUGUAAACCGCUUUCAGCAGGAACGAAAAUGACGGUACUUGCAGAAGAAGGUGCGGCCAACUACGUGCCAGCAGCCGCGGUGAUACGUAGGCACCAAGCGUUGUCCGGAUUUAUUGGGCGUAAAGAGCUCGUAGGCGGUUCGGUAAGUCAGGUGUGAAAACUUUGGGCUUAACCCAAAGCCUGCAUCUGAUACUGCCGUGACUAGAGUUCGGUAGGGGAGCGGGGAAUUCCUAGUGUAGCGGUGAAAUGCGCAGAUAUUAGGAGGAACACCGGUGGCGAAGGCGCCGCUCUGGGCCGAAACUGACGCUGAGGAGCGAAAGCGUGGGUAGCAA